rnacentral:rRNA from 1 species
GAUGAACGCUAGCGGCAGGCUUAACACAUGCAAGUCGAGGGGCAGCAUGAGACGGAGAUUCGUCGAAGUCUUGAUGGCGACCGGCGCAAGGGUGCGUAACGCGUGAGCAACUUGCCCGUUUCUGGGGAAUAACCGGUGGAAACGCCGACUAAUACCCCAUAGUAUUGGUUUUAGGCAUCUUUAACCAAUUAAGAAUUUCGGAAACGGAUAGGCUCGCGUGACAUUAGCUAGAUGGCGGGGUAACGGCCACCAUGGCGACGAUGUCUAGGGGUUCUGAGAGGAAGGUCCCCCCCACAACUGGAACUGAGACACGGUCCAGACUCCUACGGGAGGCAGCAGUGAGGAAUAUU